rnacentral:rRNA from 1 species
UACAGAGGCCCCAAGCGUUACUGAGAAUCACUGGGUUUAAAGGGUGCGUAGGUGGUCCAUUAAGUUCGUUGUGAAAGCCCUGGGCUCAACCCAGGAACUGCUUCGAAUACUGGCGGACUUGAGGCUAGUAGAGGUCACUGGAACUGACGGUGGAGCGGUGAAAUGCGUAGAUAUCGUCAGGAACGCCAAUGGUGAAGACAGGUGACUGGGCUAGAUCUGACACUGAGGCACGAAAGCGUGGGGAUCAAACGGG